UCAGGCUGGUGCUAAACAUGUUUAUGCAGUGGAAGCAUCUGAAAUGGCAAAAUAUGCCCGCAAACUUAUUGCUGGGAACCCAUUGUUGGCUCAAAGAAUUACGGUAGUCAAGGGUAAAGUUGAAGAAGUUGAAUUGCCUGAGAAAGCAGAUAUUUUGAUCUCGGAGCCUAUGGGGACCUUGUUAGUCAAUGAAAGAAUGCUGGAGACCUAUGUAAUUGCAAGGGAUCGGUUCCUUGUUCCUAACGGAAAGAUGUUUCCUACGAUUGGAAG